rnacentral:lncRNA from 1 species
AUUAUUGUUCUUUUGCCGUAAAAAGUUAAGAGCAUUCACUUAGGGUGAGUAAGAAAUAAGUUGGGGAGAAUCGGUAAGUACCACAACUCUAGAAAAACCGAGCAAGCAUAAAAAAAAAUAUAUGUAUAGAAAAUAUAGAAAAGAAACAUCUGUUUUGUACAUUUGAUGUGAAAGAAAAGAACAAAAAUAGAAAGAAUGAAAAUGAAUGCUUGCUUGGAAGAAAAAUAGUGAAAAAUAAAAAUUGAGUUGUGAAUUUAAGAGUUGUGAAGGUUUCAAACGAGAAACAAAUGAAACAAAGUCAAGAUGUGUGAAUAAUGUACA